UGGACGCGCCGUUCCCGAGAUUGUUGUCAAAACCACUCGUUCAGUGCAAAAGCCGAUUCUGAGCCCGAGGAGGACGUUCCAUUGCCACUUUCCCGGAGACUGCCGCAGCUCCUCAGCCCCUCCAGCCGCGGAGGGGCUCCGGUCCUGCUGCGCCGAGCGAUGUGGCCCGUGUGUGUGGUGUGUUCUUGAAUGGACCAGAAUAACCUAACUCACUACAGAGACUGCACAUACUUCUCUGGCUAACAGUACACAGGAGUUUAUGGAUACAGGGAAAGGAGAAAGGCCCCCACAGGUUGGGGACUGAUGACAAGCCUGCUUCUUGUCCCUUCCACUGUAAGGGGAUAAUGGGGAUCCUCCUUGUUUUUAUCAUCUGUCCUCAGGUGAGUUUAGUGUAUUGUUUCUUUC